rnacentral:lncRNA from 1 species
GACAGCAGCAGUGACCGUAGCAGCCUAGAGGUGGCCGAAUGCUUACUCUAAUGGGCUGGCCCAUCCCUGAGUGUCUAGAGUUCCCAGCCCGCUUAAGGAAGGAAGGAAAACACAGGCAGCUCUAAGUGUACGACGAGGGAGGUCUCAUCGGCGGUGAGGAAGCCCAGGCGGGUCCCCUUCCCAGCUGAAAGGGGUUCGGAAUUUCACUCUGUCGCCAGGCUGGAAUGCAGUAGGGCAAUCUCGGCUCACUGCAACCUCCACCUCCCGAGUUCAAGUGAUGCUCCUGCUUCGGCCUCCUGAGUAGCUGGGACUACAGCGGUGUCUGCUCCUGGCACCUCAGGCACAGUCAGGGGUAGGAGGUGGUGAUCAGAUACACUCGCUGUGAGCAGUGCAAGGGGAAGCAGGUGCCCAGAGGUGCAUCCCGGUUUGGUGGGGGUGACAAACAUGGACAGAACUGCGUAGCGCCUUAUACGCUGCGGCAAGUGUGACGUCAUUCGAACAAACCAUAGGCCCCGCCCCCGGACUAGCCACGCCCACAGGCUCCUGAAACCAC